CCAGACAGCCAGGAUGUUGGCUUAGAAGCAGCCAUCAUUUAAAGAAAGCGUAAUAGCUCACUGGUCGAGUCGGCCUGCGCGGAAGAUGUAACGGGGCUAAACCAUGCACCGAAGCUGCGGCAGCGACACUAUGUGUUGUUGGGUAGGGGAGCGUUCUGUAAGCCUGCGAAGGUGUACUGUGAGGUAUGCUGGAGGUAUCAGAAGUGCGAAUGCUGACAUAAGUAACGAUAAAGCGGGUGAAAAGCCCGCUCGCCGGAAGACCAAGGGUUCCUGUCCAACGUUAAUCGGGGCAGGGUGAGUCGACCCCUAAGGCGAGGCCGAAAGGCGUAGUCGAUGGGAAACAGGUUAAUAUUCCUGUACUUGGUGUUACUGCGAAGGGGGGACGGAGAAGGCUAUGUUGGCCGGGCGACGGUUGUCCCGGUUUAAGCGUGUAGGCUGGUUUUCCAGGCAAAUCCGGAAAAUCAAGGCUGAGGCGUGAUGACGAGGCACUACGGUGCUGAAGCAACAAAUGCCCUGCUUCCAGGAAAAGCCUCUAAGCAUCAGGUAACAUCAAAUCGUACCCCAAACCGACACAGGUGGUCAGGUAGAGAAUACCAAGGCGCUUGAGAGAACUCGGGUGAAGGAACUAGGCAAAAUGGUGCCGUAACUUCGGGAGAAGGCACGCUGAUAUGUAGGUGAAGUCCCUCGCGGAUGGAGCUGAAAUCAGUCGAAGAUACCAGCUGGCUGCAACUGUUUAUUAAAAACACAGCACUGUGCAAACACGAAAGUGGACGUAUACGGUGUGACGCCUGCCCGGUGCCGGAAGGUUAAUUGAUGGGGUUAGCGCAAGCGAAGCUCUUGAUCGAAGCCCCGGUAAACGGCGGCCGUAACUAUAACGGUCCUAAGGUAGCGAAAUUCCUUGUCGGGUAAGUUCCGACCUGCACGAAUGGCGUAAUGAUGGCCAGGCUGUCUCCACCCGAGACUCAGUGAAAUUGAACUCGCUGUGAAGAUGCAGUGUACCCGCGGCAAGACGGAAAGACCCCGUGAACCUUUACUAUAGCUUGACACUGAACAUUGAGCCUUGAUGUGUAGGAUAGGUGGGAGGCUUUGAAGUGUGGACGCCAGUCUGCAUGGAGCCGACCUUGAAAUACCACCCUUUAAUGUUUGAUGUUCUAACGUUGGCCCCUAAUCGGGGUUGCGGACAGUGUCUGGUGGGUAGUUUGACUGGGGCGGUCUCCUCCUAAAGAGUAACGGAGGAGCACGAAGGUUGGCUAAUCCUGGUCGGACAUCAGGAGGUUAGUGCAAUGGCAUAAGC
rnacentral:rRNA from 1 species